ensembl:lncRNA
CGACAGAUGGUUUAUAACUUCAUUUAUUCAUCUUAAGUGCUUUAGCGGAAGCUUCAUGGAGAGCCUUCGAGGAAGAGAAAACACGGCCUAAUAAAGGCGUCCAGGGGAUUGAUGUUUCAAAUAUAAACUUACACUAGUGUUGUAUACGCUAAUAUAAAAACUAAUAUUUGAUAUAUUUGUUAAAUCUUACCGUGGUUGUAGCUGUGUUGGCUAACUAACGUUACUCAUAAAGCUGGCCUGAGCCACAUGAGGAGACAGGAAAGUUACUCUAACUAUGGGCUAGUAACUAGUUAGUCUAUUACUGACUGUUUAGUGAUGGUUUACAUCGAUUCAGCGGGGAUUAUCCCACCAAAAUAUCUCUAGUUAUCUCCAAACAACCACCACGUCGCUGCAUAAUAACAGACAGAGGUCUGACUAGUUAGCUAGCCACCGUUACUUACAAUAAGAAGCUCAUUUCCGUUAACUUUGCUUCGAGCGAAGCUUCCAGACAGCGUGAAGUCGAGGAUUCCCAACAGAAAUUCUUCACCCAAGUCUUGUUUAAGGAUCAAACCGAUGUAAACAACGUAGUCCCAAAGUUUCAAAACUUUAAUCUAAGCGAACAUGAAACCGCGCUGGAACAGGAAGUGUUUACAACCGCCGCAGAGAAAAAGGAAACAGCAAAGACGACAGAGUCCGAUGUUGUUGCCAAAAUCGCACAGUAUGAGCUGCUAGUGCGAGUGCAGUUAGAGCUGUUAGUGGCGAUGCAGUUAGAGCUGCUAGUGCGAUUAGAGCUGUUCGUGCGAGUGCAGUUAGAGCUGCUAGUGCGAGUGCAGU